CGCUGGCGGCAGGCCUAACACAUGCAAGUCGAACGGUAGCACAGAGGAGCUUGCUCCUUGGGUGACGAGUGGCGGACGGGUGAGUAAUGUCUGGGAAACUGCCCGAUGGAGGGGGAUAACUACUGGAAACGGUAGCUAAUACCGCAUAACGUCGCAAGACCAAAGAGGGGGACCUUCGGGCCUCUUGCCAUCGGAUGUGCCCAGAUGGGAUUAGCUAGUAGGUGGGGUAACGGCUCACCUAGGCGACGAUCCCUAGCUGGUCUGAGAGGAUGACCAGCCACACUGGAACUGAGACACGGUCCAGACUCCUACGGGAGGCAGCAGUGGGGAAUAUUGCACAAUGGGCGCAAGCCUGAUGCAGCCAUGCCGCGUGUAUGAAGAAGGCCUUCGGGUUGUAAAGUACUUUCAGCGAGGAGGAAGGCGUUGUGGUUAAUAACCGCAACGAUUGACGUUACUCGCAGAA
rnacentral:rRNA from 1 species